rnacentral:rRNA from 1 species
UACGUAGGUGGCAAGCGUUGUCCGGAUUUACUGGGCGUAAAGAGCGCGCAGGCGGUCGUUCAAGUCGCGUGUGAAAGCCCCCGGCUCAACUGGGGAGGGUCACGCGAUACUGAUCGACUCGAAGGCAGGAGAGGGUAGUGGAAUUCCCGGUGUAGUGGUGAAAUGCGUAGAUAUCGGGAGGAAAACCAGUGGCGAAGGCGACUACCUGGCCUGUUUCUUGACGCUGAGGCGCGAAAGCUAGGGGAGCAAACAGG